rnacentral:lncRNA from 1 species
AAAGGACGUGAAAAAAUUAAAUUAAUCAAUCUAAGGCAACAUAUGAAUGCACAUUUUUUAAAAUUCUCAUGGCUACUUCGUUUAAUAAAAUGCAAGCAUGAAUGGACGAGCUCAUCACAAAUUAGUAACAACAGUCUAUUUGAAUUCUCCUGCCCUUCAAUAGUUUUUUCACACAUUAUCACACAUGUCUUUAAAUUCACAAAAAUAGAGAAAUCUAACAUAAAUUUAACAGAAGAUGUGUAUAACCAAUACCAUAACAUUGCAAGUUGUUCAGCGAUUAGUUGAACAUUUAAUCAAAUAUCCCCAAGUUCUUCACAAACUCCAUUAAAUGAUCUUAUCACUGCAAAUCAGAUCACAAAAUUGAGAACCUUACAUUCAUAUAGCUAACUACCUACAUUUCCAUAUCUUUGAUAUCAUAUUGGUGUGUUGAGCAGAGCAAACAAAGGAUAUCACUGUUUGUUUCAAAAAAGAUAAGCUAUGCAAGCGAACUAAUCAAAAUUGUUAGAUUUUACAUGAACAAAUUGAAGGAAUCCAAGGGCAGGUCAACCAUGAGGAGUUACAUGGUGUGUUCCUAUGGCGUUGGAUUCGGCCCCCACAUGGGUCAGUUACAAAUAGACAUUCUUGUGGUUACACCUCCCUGCACAUAUAACAAAUUAUUCUGUACUGGUUCUUACUAACUGGACCAAAUUUCUUCACUUUCUUAUUAUUGCAAAUGAAUUACCAGCUAGUCCUUUCUGACCAAAUCUUGUUAGAAUAUAUCCAGAAGAUAUUGCCAAACCAUACAAAAGACUUUGAUAAAACACAUUUGAAUCAAAACAUCAUAAUUCAUUUCUAUUGGACGCCACAAGUCUUCUGACAGAACACUUUCAUGCACACUACCUUCAACAUGGAUUGCUCUACCCUUUAGCUUCAUUUACAAAAUGAAGUCAACUCUGAUAGAUUAAACAUGACAAUAUGCUAAUUCAAAUAUACUAAAAAGUUUUAACUUGAACCUUUUGAAAGAAUGCAUAGCAUCUCAUUUCGAUCAGUUUUAACCUGAACCUUUUGAAAGAAUGCAUAGCAUCUCAUUUGGAUCAGCCAGAAAGUUUAACUAGAGAACUUUUGAAUGUAUGCAUGCCAAAAAAUUGGAUCAACAAGGAGAACCACAGGAUUUUGAUUGGAUUGAAUUGAUCAACUAGAAAAUCAGAUAUCACGAUACCUUAUGUAGAUCCACCGGAUCAUGCCAGACUGGCAGCCCUCAUUUUUGGCAGAAGAUUCACCUAAGGAAAAUAUAUUCAAUUUAUCAUUAGAAGAAUAAUUUAAUAUAUAGCCGAGCCUGAACAAUGCAUAGGUCAGUCUAAAGGUGUUAACAAUGCACUAACAGGAAGUGCAUUGGGCAUGAGCACAAAAUGAGACACCAUAAUGCAAUCAUAAAUAUUAAUCAAACUGCAUUGUACACACAUAAAGACAGAAUUUUCACGAAUGCAUUUCAACGAACUAUGAGAUGCACCAAAUUAACUCCACAAAUUAUCAGAGGAACAAAAUAGCCAGCAUUGUUCAUGCAACUAUUUUCUAAAGUAAUACUUGUGAAUUGUGAUGAAGAAGGAACACAUAGCAAGACCUCAUAUGCCCAGCUGGUAGGAAAAUAUACAUGGCAACCUUAUACGGUAGAAAUUGUUUUGAUUCAAUACCUAGAUCAUGAGGGUUUUCUUCCUCUUCAUAAUUACCCUCAAAACAUAAUAAUGCUAAAGAAUAAACAAGCACGAUACCAAAGCUGGCACUGACCAACAAAAUGGCCUCCCAAAUGAUGCCAAUGAGACACAGUCAACCAGUGUGCCUAAGUUACCAAUGAUCAAACUCAGAAAAUUAAAAUAUUAGGAUCAUGGAGCUCACGAAUAGUGUGACCAGACAGCAUAUAUAUGAGUGAAUGGCCUCACCUAAUAUCUCAAAGGUUUUCGCCUACCGCAGUGAUGCUCUCACUAUCUCACAAAUGGUAAUUGAAUGGCCAAAAGCUGGUUUGUCCCUUCAAUUGAACAAAUAAGUCUCAAAUUAGUUCACCUUUUAGAUAUAUGGAAUCAGUGAUUGAUUAGUGAGAAAGAUAUACCUUGACUUACCAUAAGCAAACUGAAGCUAUAUUACAAUCUAGUGUGACCGACAAACAAGAAGCAGAUAAAAACUAAAGCAUCUAGUGUGAGAUGUAGAAAUUUUGAAGAUUACAACAUGAAUUAUUCAAACUAACUUGAACAGUAACACAAUUUAUCUCUGGCAUACAAUGUUAACCAAAAGAAAUUAAUUCAUGCCACCAUUACGAUCUUCAGUGCACAAGAUUGAUAGAGGCAAAGAUUCAGGUACAUCAUUACCCAAAUAACUUCCUUUGGUUUUGAACUGAUAUGUAUUUGGCUCCUCUCUGUGCUCUAUAAACAUAUCUAUUCAUUUCCUCUUCUUCUUUUCUCACUACCAAAUGGAUAUUUUCUAGAUGAUAUGACCAUGCCAUGUGCUUGAAAAAUAAAGAAAACAUAAUGACACAAUUCAGUGAGGUAGGGCAAAAUGUCUUAGCUAUAUACUAAAGUAUGAACUUCAAUGGGCACCUUGGUUCUAAUUGGCUGAUUCCCGAAUAGGUGAUUGGAUUGACUGAUUCCCUAGUCUCCUCCCCUUGCUGUACUCUCUAAAGAAAUAUAUAUGGUAGUAUAAUUAGGAUUAUACUGAUUAGAUCAGUUGAUCAAAGAAAGAAAGAGGUAAAGAUAUUGCCCAAAAUGCACGGAGUCACAUUCUCAAGGAUUGACAGAGGCAUCGUUGGUGAUUGUCUUCUCGGCUUCUUGUGAAUCGAAUCAAAUCAAAUCGAGCGGAUGUUUCUGGUGCUUACCCUACUUGCCAUGGAUCAAAUCAAGGGCUCAGCUUCAAGCACUCGCCGACGAAGUCGGAGCGGAGAGAGGGAGCGAGAGAAGAGUAGAAGCAAGGAAUGGCUGCUGGGAAGCAGCAGCAAGUUGCAGCAGCAGGGCAUGAUGGCGGCGGCAGAGCCAGGUGUGGCAUGGCGGCUGUGGCGGGUGGUAAGCGACGUGC